rnacentral:rRNA from 1 species
GGGGUAACAGGAAGCAGCUUGCUGCUUCGCUGACGAGUGGCGGACGGGUGAGUAAUGUCUGGGAAGCUGCCUGAUGGAGGGGGAUAACUACUGGAAACGGUAGCUAAUACCGCAUAAUGUCGCAAGACCAAAGAGGGGGACCUUCGGGCCUCUUGCCAUCGGAUGUGCCCAGAUGGGAUUAGCUUGUUGGUGGGGUAACGGCUCACCAAGGCGACGAUCCCUAGCUGGUCUGAGAGGAUGACCAGCCACACUGGAACUGAGACACGGUCCAGACUCCUACGGGAGGCAGCAGUGGGGAAUAUUGCACAAUGGGCGCAAGCCUGAUGCAGCCAUGCCGCGUGUAUGAAGAAGGCCUUCGGGUUGUAAAGUACUUUCAGCGGGGAGGAAGGGAGUAAAGUUAAUACCUUUGCUCAUUGACGUUACCCGCAGAAGAAGCACCGGCUAACUCCGUGCCAGCAGCCGCGGUAAUACGGAGGGUGCAAGCGUUAAUCGGAAUUACUGGGCGUAAAGCGCACGCAGGCGGUUUGUUAAGUCAGAUGUGAAAUCCCCGGGCUCAACCUGGGAACUGCAUCUGAUACUGGCAAGCUUGAGUCUCGUAGAGGGGGGUAGAAUUCCAGGUGUAGCGGUGAAAUGCGUAGAGAUCUGGAGGAAUACCGGUGGCGAAGGCGGCCCCCUGGACGAAGACUGACGCUCAGGUGCGAAAGCGUGGGGAGCAAACAGGAUUAGAUACCCUGGUAGUCCACGCCGUAAACGAUGUCGACUUGGAGGUUGUGCCCUUGAGGCGUGGCUUCCGGAGCUAACGCGUUAAGUCGACCGCCUGGGGAGUACGGCCGCAAGGUUAAAACUCAAAUGAAUUGACGGGGGCCCGCACAAGCGGUGGAGCAUGUGGUUUAAUUCGAUGCAACGCGAAGAACCUUACCUGGUCUUGACAUCCACGGAAGUUUUCAGAGAUGAGAAUGUGCCUUCGGGAACCGUGAGACAGGUGCUGCAUGGCUGUCGUCAGCUCGUGUUGUGAAAUGUUGGGUUAAGUCCCGCAACGAGCGCAACCCUUAUCCUUUGUUGCCAGCGGUCCGGCCGGGAACUCAAAGGAGACUGCCAGUGAUAAACUGGAGGAAGGUGGGGAUGACGUCAAGUCAUCAUGGCCCCUUACGACCAGGGCUACACACGUGCUACAAUGGCGCAUACAAAGAGAAGCGACCUCGCGAGAGCAAGCGGACCUCAUAAAGUGCGUCGUAGUCCGGAUUGGAGUCUGCAACUCGACUCCAUGAAGUCGGAAUCGCUAGUAAUCGUGGAUCAGAAUGCCACGGUGAAUACGUUCCCGGGCCUUGUACACACCGCCCGUCACACCAUGGGAGUGGGUUGCAAAAGAAGUAGGUAGCUUAACCUUCGGGAGGGCGCUUACCACUUUGUGAUUCAUGACUGGGGUGAAGUCGUAACAAGGUA